rnacentral:lncRNA from 1 species
GUGCAGGAAACAUGAGGCCAGACACCAAAAAAGGCAAACAAAUCUCAGUGGAAUUUCAUCAAAGACAUUAAUAUUCAAAUAUAGUUAUGUAGUUAUUUUUUUAAGAAUUACAGUACAACUUAGACGCUCACAACACGCAUGCACACUUACCCCUAUGAACACACAUAGGCAAACCCUACCGCGCUAUGAGCACAUCCAAAGGACAGAACCGACACAUCUUGAGAUUGACGAAGUCACCACAGGCACCACGUUGUCGACGGGAUCGCCUACCACUGAAAGCAUAGGAAUAAAUCUAGGAAAUUACAAGCACUGUGCCAAGUUGAGGACUUGAACACCUACCACUAAAAGCGUAGGAAUAAAUAUAGGAAAAUGCGAGCCUCGUGCUAAGUCGAGGACUUGAACCUAGGUGGGCUGGUUCCACCACAACGAACCCAACCAACUGAUCUAUGAUCAGUUCACAUUAUAUAGUUACUUUGAGUGUAUAAAGCUUGACAACACUUGUGCUUUUAGGAUAUAAAUGAUCCCACCCAACAUGUUUAUUAGUCUGUUUAACAAUUAUUCGUCUCAUUGUUGUCAGUGUCACUCUCAAAUCCUUGCUGCAGAUGACUAUUCACGGUGCCAUGGGCAAACAUUCAUUGCAAGAUAUGACUAUUGAGAUGAGGAAAUGUGUAACAAUAGAAAAGGCAAUUCCACCUCAAGCUCAAUAUAAGGAGGUGGUUUCCAGUUCCACCUGUAGGUCAACAAUGUGACAAAGCAACACUAGCAUACAAUACACACUUAAUGUAAGAGGAUAUAUAGAUGGAUGAGUAGCAGAGAUGGAAUGAGAGGCACAUGAACGGUGUGUAGGGACCUGGGAAUGGGAGGUCGGAGGAAGGCAGUUACUAGGGAGGUGGUCUUUUCUUAGAGACUCACGGACACAUAAAGUAGGGAUAUGGCUCUUCUGCUCAAUCCCUGCUUCUGACCCCUCUGCUACAGGCCUCGACCUAGAGGCUUGGACCAAUGUAAGGAGGAUAAAAUUGGGAAAGGGGCCUCGGAGCAUCACGGACUGCUAUAAUAUGAGAAUACAACAUUUGCCUGAUCGACGGUUUCUGCCUUUUAAGCAAUAAAAUUAGUCUUAGCAUCACAUUUAUCCCUUUUUGUUUCUAAUUAGGCAUGCUCGAGUUGCAGCUUAGAUUGUGCAUCAUGUUAGACGAUUGUAUUGAAUCCACUGAUGUUCUUUGUUAUAAUGAUUCAAGCACCUUUUGGAGAUGCAUUUCUCUCGUUAUUGGAGCACAGAAGUGUCUAAUUCAUACAGAGGUCC